ensembl:lncRNA
AUGAGAACAUCAGUCAAUUAAAAAUAACAUCAUACAGACAUUACAAGAACAUUUUUAUGAGAACGUUUUCCUUCAACAUUAUGAGAACAUCAGUCAAUUAAAAGUAACAUCAUAAAGACGUUACAAGAACGUUGUUAUGGGAACGUUUUCGCUCAAUGUUACGACAAUGUAUUUUAACUAUGAAAACAUUAUAAGACUGUUCCAGAAACAUUAUGUCAGGAACAUUUUUUUCUAACAUUUACUUAACUUUUACAUUAUGUUAGUGAAAGUUAUGGGAACGUUCCCUGUUAGCUGGGUGUUAUCCGGGCCGAGUGUGGCCCGCAGCUCGCUCUCGCGCAUGUGUUUGUGAUGCGCCUGUAAAGCACUAACCCGAUUCCUGUUCACCGUAACCGACCCGAGUCUGGCUGUAGAGUCCGGCCCACUUCUGGCAAUGACUCGGCUCGGUUCAGUCAUAGAUGGUUACAUUAAUAUAGCAAUAAAUAACAUAAAACUAUUUUAAACUUGGCUUAAGCUCUUUACAGUAUCUUAUAAUGUUAAUACGUCUAAUGUCGUGAAUUUGUUAAAAACAAAUUAUCUGCGAUACAAUGUAAAAACAAAAAAGUGCUUUAUAGGACAGAACGUUCUCUAAUAUUCAUAACAAUAUCAAAUCUAUAUAUAUGUAACACAGCAGGUCAUUCUUAUAUACGUUUGCUUGUAUGUAUUUUGAACGCGCUUCAUUGCGCGCUCACGUGUAUCUAGCGCAGGCGCUCAUAAGCUCAUAAAUGAACUCGCAAACCUUCACCUCACGUGUGAGACUGCAGCGAACGCGGCUUUGUGUGAAACCUAAGUAAAAAAAUAAAUAAAAUAAACGAUAUAGUUUUAAUUUUUGAUCUAAUUGUUGUGUGGGUCUACUCUAAAGUUUUUACUCUGCAGAAAACUGACGAGAAACCCAACCCACCAACAGACGAGGAAGAUGAAAAUCAUAGUGGUUCAGCAUAUACAAAGAAAAAAGAUGCUAAAUAUAAGCAGACUAUACAGAUGCUCAUCUCUGCGAAAACUCACGUGACUACAACGCAAACACAGCAUCACAGUUCAUGCUUCUUCAGUCAGGAUUAA